CAGGGCCAGAUCCAGAACAGUUCCUACUAGACCAGGCCCAGAUCCAGAACAGUUCCUACUAGACCAGGGCCAGAUCCAGAACAGUUCCUACUAGACCAGGGGCAGCUGUCAGCGCUCAACAGCUGAGGCCGAAAACCAGCUCUUCUCUCAUUCUCACCCUCCCUCUGUUCCACUAGACUUCCGAUCAUGUGUUCUGUCUGUGGGUAUAAACAUCUGCUUUCCCUUUAACAUAUCUGUCCCAUGCGUUUUAUGAAGGCAUAUCAUCAUUCAAUAUCGUUGUUCACUGAAAGUCAAACGCACACAUCCAAGUUUCCUGCUGCGUUAUUUUAGCUAGAGAGCGUGUAGAUGGAUAGACAUGACCCACACGUGUUUAUCUAACGCUAGUAUCAUUCAAUCAGCUCAGCAGCUGAUCCUGUUGAAACACCAGAUCUUCCUGUAAUGGUGACAGAGUUGUCAUCUGGGGUGUGUGGAUCCAGAAUGUACUAGUGUUGAUAACUCACUGAUAUCCGGAUUGGUUAUCCAAGUCACUGUGAUAUGUCGUCAGGGGUAACCAAAGAACUAAGGUUUCAUAUCUGCUGUUUUAACUGAUAUCUUAUGUUGCUUGUGUGUGUGUGUGUGUAUGUGUGUGUAUCUGUGUGUGUGUGUGUACAUAUUAUAUGUGUGUCAAAGUAAACAUAGUGCCUAGGCCACGAGUCCUCCUGAACUUUUGGGCCGUCUGCAAACAAGUAAUGAAUUGAACAUGAAUUGAUGAAUCAUGAAUUUGAAGAUGUACAGUACGUAUGACUGUGGAUGCUAUGUUGCCCAUGAAGGCUUCAUUAGCCUGUUGUUGGUGGUGUACUGUAACACUGUGGAAUGACAGACAACCCCUCCACUGAAACUAUUGGGACUGUUGCCAUUGCUGACUGACUGAAUCAUGCUUCUUGCACUGGAGUGGAUCAACCCUCGCAGAGUUCCUCAGACAAGACUUCUGUCUUCCAUUCAGGACAAAUGAAACAUAUACUAUCCUAUUUGUGCGUGUUUCUCGACUGUCCUACAUUGUGCCUCUCAAGGGGGUGGAAACUGAGGAGUCCAUGUUGGAUCUAUGCUGUGUCAACUAUCUGAAUGAAGCGACUAGGCUUCCUCUGGGUCGUAUUCACUAGGCACAAAAUGGAAGAAAAUGGACUGAAAAGGGGAAGGAGUACAUGAACUUGUCCAAUAAGAAACUCUGGUUUUUGUUUUGCGAAACAUUUUCCGUUGCAGAACGUUUUGCUACGGUGUACACUAAUGAAUAUGACCCCGGUUGUGAGGAUUACUUCACUGAGUAUACAAAACAUUAAGAACACAUGCUCUUUCCAUGAGAUAGACUGACCAGGUAAAUCCAGGUGACAGCAAUCCCUUUUUGAUGUAACUUGUUAAAUCCACUUGUAGAUGAAAGGGAGGAGACAGGUUAAAGAAGGAUUUUUAAGCCUUGAGACAUGGAUUGUGUAUGUGUGCCAUUCAGAGGGUGAAUGGGUAAGACAAAAUAUUUAAGUGCCUUUGAACGGGGUAUGGUAGUAGGUGCCAGGCGCACCGGUUUGUGUCAAGAACUGCAACGCUGCUGGGUUUUUCACAUGCAACAGUUUCCUGUGUCAAUCAAGAAUGUUCCACUACCCAAAGGACAUCCAGCCAACUUGACACAACUGUGGGAAGCAUUAGAGUCAACGUGGGCCAGCAUCCCUGUGGAAUGCUUUCAACUUCUUGUAGAGUCCAUGUCCUGAGAAGUUAGGCUGUUCUGAGGGCAAAAGGAGGUGCAACUCAAUAUUAGUAAGGUGUUCUUAAUGUUUGGUAUACUCAGUGUAUACUAUAAUGCAUUGUGCCUCUCAAGGGGGUGGAAACUGAGGCUAGACUGGGCCUGACUGAAGGCUGGCUGGCCUGAUGCAUUAUGACCUGAAGCUCACAGGCAUUUACAAUGCCCUCCACCAAUACCCUGGACUGUUACUGUUAGGUUGAAUGCCCUCCUCCAAUCCCCUGGACUGUUACUGUUAGGUUGAAUGCCCUCCACCAAUACCCUGGACUGUAACUGUUAGGUUGAAUGCCCUCCACCAAUACCCUGGACUGUAACUGUUAGGUUGAAUGCCCUCCACCAAUACCCUGGACUGUAACUGUUAGGUUGAAUGCCCUCCACCAAUACCCUGGACUGUAACUGUUAGGUUGAAUGCCCUCCACCAAUACCCUGGACUGUAACUGUUAGGUUGAAUGCCCUCCUCCAAUCCCCUGGACUGUAACUGUUAGGUUGAAUGCCCUCCACCAAUACCCUGGACUGUUACUGUUAGGUUGAAUGCCCUCCACCAAUCCCCUGGACUGUUACUGUUAGGUUGAAUGCCCUCCACCAAUCCCCUGGACUGUAACUGUUAGGUUGAAUGCCCUCCACCAAUCCCCUGGACUGUUACUGUUAGGUUGAAUGCCCUCCACCAAUCCCCUGGACUGUUACUGUUAGGUUGAAUGCCCUCCACCAAUCCCCUGGACUGUUACUGUUAGGUUGAAUGCCCUCCUCCAAUCCCCUGGACUGUUACUGUUAGGUUGAAUGCCCUCCACCAAUACCCUGGACUGUAACUGUUAGGUUGAAUGCCCUCCACCAAUCCCCUGGACUGUAACUGUUAGGUUGAAUGCCCUCCACCAAUACCCUGGACUGUAACUGUUAGGUUGAAUGCCCUCCACCAAUACCCUGGACUGUAACUGUUAGGUUGAAUGCCCUCCUCCAAUCCCCUGGACUGUUACUGUUAGGUUGAAUGCCCUCCACCAAUACCCUGGACUGUAACUGUUAGGUUGAAUGCCCUCCUCCAAUCCCCUGGACUGUAACUGUUAGGUUGAAUGCCCUCCACCAAACCCUGGACUGUAACUGUUAGGUUGAAUGCCCUCCACCAAUACCCUGGACUGUAACUGUUAGGUUGAAUGCCCUCCUCCAAUCCCCUGGACUGUUACUGUUAGGUUGAAUGACUAACGAUGAAGCCUACCGAAGCCUACAGUGAUUUGCUCUGACAGCAUUUUCUAUGUUAAUUUGACUAAUGAGUAACAUUUAAAGUAUUUUUUAAAGAGGUACUCAUGUCAACAAAUGAAUGGAGUUUCUUUUACAGGGAGAGCUGUAUGAACGGGGGAUAGACACUAUGAGGAAAUGGGAGGGGAGAGGAGGGGACGUCACAUAGUUUUACAACCUGAAGGAUGAACCAUGUCUCUAACAUUUUGUAUUUUAUUGGAGCUGUGGAUGUGGCUAGCUCUGGUCCAGGGGGUUAGUGCAUUCCUCGCUAACGCCCUGGACCAGAGCUAGUUGUGGCUAACUGUGGUGGGACUGAGGAGAAAUAGAAUUUUAAAAUGCUGUAAAAGAAACCCAAGACCUUACUUUAAAGACAAGAUCAAAGCUGCUCUCCCUAAUGAGGAGUUGUACAUAUAAAUAUAUUUGAACAUAGUAUUAUUUGCAAUAUUAUAAUGUACAGAAUUGUAUUUAUAUUGUAUCUCAACAAACUGUUUUAAUUGGUACCAAGAUGUUCUAGAAUACAGAACGUUUACAAUCUAAA